CGCUUCAAUCAGUAAUGUCUAGAUACUUUGACAAUUACAGUUAUAAUGGCCUGAGAUUUAUUUUUACGCGCUUAUAAUUUUUUACAUUUAAUUUUCUAUUAGUUUAGUAUAAUAUAAAAGAAGUUGGUGCUUGUUAUUGAAAGGUAAAAGUGUCUUGUGGAUAGUUUUGCUUGCGUAUUGUGCGGAGCAGGCUGGGAGGGACGACACAGUACCAGACGUCAGACACAAGGCACUAUGUUUAAAGGGUGCUAUAAACUGCUGCUUUAUUUAACGUAUUUUCGCAGAACAAGACAGUGACAGGGGCCGUGGUGGCUGCCUGCGUGUGCUGGUGCAAGCUUGGUGCCUGCAGUGCCACCAAGGCUAAUAUUGAGCAACGGCAACCCUCCGAUCCGGCAAGCAAGUUUGUGGCAGCGAUGGCGGUGGCGGCGGCAGUGGUGGUGAGGUGGACGGCAGGGACAGAGGGGCAGUACAGGCUGCGGACAUCAAGGAGAAGAGGAACGCACGGACAAGCAAGGUGUUAUUCGGCAGUCUGAUCCUGGACCUGCUCGGCUUGAAGGUGGUGCUGCCCGUGUGUCCUGCUCUCCUCGACUGUUACUCCAAGCACAACACCAGCGGCUUGUAUUCCUCUCAGCUCUCCUGUGUGACUUAUUACCAGCAUAUCAUCGGUUUCGCUGCGAGGUUCCAUUCUGUUUUGUUUGGCACUGAUUGGCGUGACAUUCAGCAUAGGCUUCACCGUCGGGCACACUGUGGGGGCUGCGUUCUCCCGCUGGGGAAGUACUGGGUGGUUCGCGGCCUCGGCUGUCUACGCACGCACUCUCACUGUGGCUAACAUAAUAUUCUUUGCUGUCUUCUUCCAGGAAUCGCUGCCUGAGGGCAGAAGGAGGAGGGACAUCGGUGCCAGUUUGACCGAGGCUUGGGAGGUGAUCAAUCCUAGGGCUCUGUUCUCCGUCAGCUGUGUCAAGGGCCUGGGCAGAGAAGCCUGGAGUUAACGCUGAUCUUCGCGACCCACCACAAGCAUAGUUACGACUCGUUGGCGCAGGACCGCAAGUUUUCCUUCCUGGGCCUGGUCAUGGCAAUUACACAGAGAGGGUUUAUGCGAAGUGUUAAGACUGGAACUGAAAAAGCAACUGCCAAUUAGUGGUUAAUGACGAUGACUCCUGCUUUCAUCCUCAUCGGGGCUAGCAAGACCAACCUGGGGCUGUACUCUGGACUGACGCUGUAUGCCAUAGGUUCCUCUAUGAUGGUGCCCUGCCUCACUGCCCUCGCCUCCUGUCACGGCACGGCCUCUCACAAGGGUACCCUGUUUGGCAUUCGAAGGUCACCAGGGGCUCUUCCAAGGGCGUUCGGACCUGUUGUGACAUCAAUAGGAUUCUGGGUAAUGUGGGCAGAAGUGUGCUAUAUUGUAGACAGCCUCUCCAUGGCUGCUGCCGCUAGUGAUGCAGCAGGCCUACUGAGCUCCCUGCCACGUUCUCAGCCUGUUUAUAUUAGCCAGGUUAAGGAGGAAGGAUGUUGGGCUGAUGUUGGGCUAUUUAUGUGGUGUUUGGGCUAGUUUUCGGCGGUUUUUUGUCACGUUCCUUCUUUUGGGCUAGUUUUGGGCGGUGUUUUGUCGUGUUCCUUCUUUUGGGCUAUCAUUAUCUAUUUUUGUUCUUUUAUUUUUCAUGGUUCCAGUGACAGUUUAAGAGGCUGUGGUGGAAGUUAUUAGGGUUUUCAAGGGUGUUUUCAUGGUUCCAGUGACAGUUUAAGAGGCUGUGGUGGAAGUUAUUGCGGUUUUCAUGGGUGUUUUUAUGGUUCUAAAAUUUAACAGGCUGUAGUGGAAGUUAUUAGGGUUUUCAAGGGUGUUUUCAUGGUUCCAGUGAUAGUCUAAGAGGCUGUAGUGGAAGUUACUGCGGUUUUCAAGGGUGUUUUUAUGGUUCUAAAAUUUAACAGGCCGUAGUGGAAGUUAUUAGGGUUUUCAAGGGUGUUUUCAUGGUUCUAGUGAUAGUCUAAUAGGCUGUAGUGUGCAAACUCUCUUGUCAGGGUGUAAACUCACCUUACCUUAAUAAAAUGUUGAUUAAUA